GCGGUAGUUCAGUUGGUUAGAAUACCGGCCUGUCACGCCGGGGGUCGCGGGUUCGAGUCCCGUCCGCUCCGCCA
rnacentral:tRNA from 3 species